rnacentral:rRNA from 1 species
UACGGAGGGUGCAAGCGUUAUCCGGAUUCACUGGGCGUAAAGCGCGUGUAGGUGGCCAAGUAGGUCCGCUGUGAAAACUUGAGGCUCAACCUCAAGCUGUCGGUGGAAACCCCUUGGCUAGAGUCCGGAAGAGGAGAGUGGAAUUCCUGGUGUAGCGGUGAAAUGCGCAGAUAUCAGGAAGAACACCAAUGGCGAAGGCAGCUCUCUGGGACGGUACUGACACUGAGACGCGAAAGCGUGGGGAGCGAACAGG